rnacentral:rRNA from 1 species
CAGUAGCCACGGUAAUACAGAGGGUGCGAGCGUUAAUCGGAUUUACUGGGCGUAAAGCGUGCGUAGGCGGCUUCUUAAGUCGGAUGUGAAAUCCCUGAGCUUAACUUAGGAAUUGCAUUCGAUACUGGGAAGCUAGAGUAUGGGAGAGGAUGGUAGAAUUCCAGGUGUAGCGGUGAAAUGCGUAGAGAUCUGGAGGAAUACCGAUGGCGAAGGCAGCCAUCUGGCCUAAUACUGACGCUGAGGUGCGAAAGCGUGGGGAGCAAACAGGAUUAGAUACCCCCGUAGUCCCUGUCUCUUAUAC